rnacentral:rRNA from 1 species
UGGGGAAUUUUGGACAAUGGGCGCAAGCCUGAUCCAGCCAUGCCGCGUGCGGGAAGAAGGCCUUCGGGUUGUAAACCGCUUUUGUCAGGGAAGAAAUCUUCUGAGUUAAUACCUCGGGAGGAUGACGGUACCUGAAGAAUAAGCACCGGCUAACUACGUGCCAGCAGCCGCGGUAAUACGUAGGGUGCAAGCGUUAAUCGGAAUUACUGGGCGUAAAGCGUGCGCAGGCGGUUUUGUAAGACAGAGGUGAAAUCCCCGGGCUCAACCUGGGAACUGCCUUUGUGACUGCAAGGCUUGAGUGCGGCAGAGGGGGGAUGGAAUUCCGCGUGUAGCAGUGAAAUGCGUAGAUAUGUGGAGGAAUACCGAUGGCGAAGGCAGCCCCCCUGGGAUAACACUGACGCUCAUGCACGAAAGCGUGGGGAGCAAACAGGAUUAGAUACCCUGGUAGUCCACGCCCUAAACGAUGUCAACUAGUUGUCGGGGAUUAAUUUCCUUGGUAACGCAGCUAACGCGUGAAGUUGACCGCCUGGGGAGUACGGUCGCAAG